UACGUAGGCGUCGAGCGUUAUCCGGUUUUACUGGGCGUAAAGGGUCCGCAGGUGGAUUUUUAAGUCUGACGUUAAAGAUCUCGGCUCAACCGAGGGAAGGUGUUGGAUACUGAAAGUCUUGAGAUUGGCAGAGGCUAUCGGAACUUAUCGAGUAGGGGUAAUAUCCGUUGAUACGAUAAGGAACGUCAAAGGCGAAGGCAGAUAGCUGGGCCAAUUCUGACACUCAUGGACGAAAGCGUGGGGAGCGAACGGG
rnacentral:rRNA from 1 species